GACGAACGCUGGCGGCGUGCCUAAUACAUGCAAGUCGAGCGCAGGAAACUGACGGAACUCUUCGGAGGGAAGGCAGUGGAAUGAGCGGCGGACGGGUGAGUAACACGUAAGGAACCUGCCUCAAGGAUUGGGAUAACUCCGAGAAAUCGGAGCUAAUACCGGAUAGUUCAUCGGACCGCAUGGUCCGUUGAUGAAAGGCGCUCCGGCGUCACCUUGAGAUGGCCUUGCGGUGCAUUAGCUAGUUGGUGGGGUAACGGCCCACCAAGGCGACGAUGCAUAGCCGACCUGAGAGGGUGAACGGCCACACUGGGACUGAGACACGGCCCAGACUCCUACGGGAGGCAGCAGUAGGGAAUCUUCCACAAUGGACGAAAGUCUGAUGGAGCAACGCCGCGUGAGUGAUGAAGGUUUUCGGAUCGUAAAACUCUGUUGUAAGGGAAGAACACGUACGAGAGGGAAUGCUCGUACCUUGACGGUACCUUACGAGAAAGCCACGGCUAACUACGUGCCAGCCGCCGCAGUAACAC
rnacentral:rRNA from 1 species